rnacentral:rRNA from 1 species
CCUACGGGGGGCAGCAGUGAGGAAUAUUGGUCAAUGGGCGAGAGCCUGAACCAGCCAAGUCGCGUGAAGGAUGACGGCCCUACGGGUUGUAAACUUCUUUUGUCAGGGAGCAAUUGGGUCCACGCGUGGGCUUAGCGAGAGUACCUGAAGAAAAAGCAUCGGCUAACUCCGUGCCAGCAGCCGCGGUAAUACGGAGGAUGCGAGCGUUAUCCGGAUUUAUUGGGUUUAAAGGGUGCGUAGGCGGAAUAUCAAGUCAGCGGUAAAAAUUCGGGGCUCAACCCCGUCGUGCCGUUGAAACUGAUGUU